rnacentral:lncRNA from 1 species
GAGUCGCAAUAAUACUUCUGCUUUUGAUGUUUUUUUUCUUCUGUGUUUAUGGUUUAACUGUCUUGAUACAGGUUAAGAAAGUUGGGAGGUUUAAGGAGACAAUGCGAACUGAAGGAAUAUCGACCUCGGACAUUAUUAUGAGAAUAGUGAAAGAUUACAACCAGUAUGUCAUGCGUAAUCUGGAUAGAGGAUAUUCGAGGGAAGAUCUUGGAGUUAGCUUUGUCAAGGCAUGCCAUCUUCUUCUUCUUCUUUUUUGCUACCUCUUCAUUUUUCUUGUUUUGCAAUUUUUUUUCACUUUGGAGGAGUCAGCUUUGGGUUUAUUGAUUUUUGCAACAGGAAAAGAGACUUAGAGUUAAUAUGAGGCUAAAGAAACUCCAGGAGAGGGUCAAAGAACAACAAGAAAAAGUGGGAGAAAAGGUACGUCUUCUCUCAACUUCCAUUUGCUUAAUUGUUCAUCAUUGUUCCAUCGUUUUGAUUGUAUUGCAUUCUAUCAAAUAAGCUCUUCAUCAUAAUUUGCAAGGUGAAUAAACUAAAUCUAGGUCUUGUACCCUCUGUACACUAUAGGCAAAGAGCAUUCUUAUCUCUUUUUUCUGGUUUGUGUCUUUUUGUUGUGCAUUAAGAAAUGAUGCUUGUUAAUCCGUUUGUCUUUGAAAGGUCUAAAUAUUACUUCUUUUAUGUGUAGUAGUUGUGCCAGGCGAUAUCAAGUUGUAAAUUAAUUUCAUCCUUAUAGUAGCAGCCUGAUCACUUAUAUCCACUGUGCUUGAAACUUCCAUGCAUUUUAUUUCUUUACCUAGUAACAUGACAUCUUGAAGAUGUCGAUUUGAUAUCCAUUUUUUCUAACUCCUUUGUUAAUGUUUAAACCCGGAUUUUCCAGAUCCAAACCGUAAAAAUGCUGCGCAACGAGUGGGUAGAGAAUGCAGAUCGAUGGGUCGCUGGAUUUCUUGAAAUAUUUGAAGAAGGUUGCCAUAAGAUGGUAAGUUAAAUCUUGAAGACACUAUACAUAACGUUAAUAAUUUAGUACUCAUGUUCUGUAUAAGCUUUGGUUAAAAAUGAAAAAUGCGUAAAAUGUUAUUAGGGAACUGCGAUCAGAGACAGUAUCCAGGAGAGGCUAAUCAAACAAAUUCCCAGAAAGAAGCUGGAGAACGGUCAGGAUGAUGACACAGAUGACCAAUUCUAUGAAGAAUACUUCGACCAUGACAUGGGCAGUGACGAGGAUGAAGAUGAAAAAUACUAUGACGAGGAGGAAGAACUAGAAGAAGAAAAGAAAGAGAAUGCCGUUAAGACGGAUGCAAAAGACAAGUAGUAAGAACUAAGAACAACACUGGCUCUCAGAAACCAAAGCUACUCAUGACCACUUCUACUAAACUACUAUAAUCUCUCACUCUCUAUCAGUAAAAUGCAUCUACUUAACAUAUGAUAUCAAUGUUUAGAAAGUGAGAGUGUGUGUGCUUGUCUUUGGUGAGUUGUCUCAUCGUUGUUGAUUUUUGUAUACAAAUGUUUUCCCUUUCGAUACUUGGUAUCUUCUGUAUCUUUUGUUUCUAUCGUUUUUUUUUCUGUAUAACAGGCAUUCCAACACCCCGGUUGCAGUAACUGCAACAAGAAGCGACCAUCAUCAUUGGCUUACAUUUGAUGCUAAUACUGGGACCAACACAAAGCACACUUGCCAUCUCCAUUCUUUUCGAUAUAUAUAUAUAUAUAUAAUAUUUAUUUAGAUUCAAUUUUCAUUUUUUCUGUAUUAAGUAAUUUUGUUAAAAAAUAUUUUUUUCUUAUUUUACUAUUGGAUUAUUGGUGUCUACAAUUUUGUAAAUGUAAACUUAGAUGUAAAUUACAAAAAAAUACCUAUAUAUUUUCAAAUUAUAAAAAAUUCAUAACUUUAAUUUAAAAUAAAACACACUAUUUUUAAAAUAUAUAUAUAGUAAUUAAUCAUUACUAAUAUUAAUAAAAUAUAUUUACUUAUAAGAUGUUUAAAAUUUAUUUAAUUAUUAAAUUAUUUCAGCCUGUCUCAAUUUAAGUUGGAACAAAAAUUAUAAAUUUUAUAGAGUUUAUAAGAUUACAACAGGAAAAAACAAAAACAAAAAUAAAUAAAACAAAAAUGAUAAAUAAUCAUUUUUCUCGUCAGGAUAGAAAAGAGGGAAGCGACUAUCAUCACUUGUUGUUGUAAGUUUUCGCGUUUCAUUUGAUCAUCGGAGAACAUGAGCAACGUCACCGGUGAUCCCACUGGAGACCUCCCUUCCACCGCCGUCGCACUCCCCGGCUCCACAGCAGUCCAGAGUUCGCCUCCCACUGAUCGUCCCGUCCGCGUCUACGCCGAUGGGAUCUACGAUCUUUUCCACUUCGGCCACGCUCGAUCUCUCGAACAGGCCAAGAAAUCGUCAGUAACCUCUCAUCUCCCUGAGAUAGUUUUUGACUAAUUUCAUUUUAUUUCGGAUGGAUUAGUGUUAUAUUGAUCUGUGAACUCCUGAAUCAGGUUCCUUUGUGUAAGUUGUGCAGAUUGGUCUCGAUGAUAAUUUGAUCUGUGUUGAUGAUUAAUAUUACUGCCAAAUACAUUGAGAUUGUGUAAUUUUGAUAGGUCUCUCUUUGGAAUAGCUCUGAUGUUGUGAUUUUGUAAAUUUGAGAAAUGGUUUUGUGUUUCUUAUUGGUUUUGCCGUUGCUUUAGGUUUCCAAACACUUACCUUCUUGUGGGAUGUUGCAACGAUGAAACCACACACAAGUACAAGGGGAGGACUGUGAUGGCUGCUGAAGAGCGAUAUGAAUCACUUCGGCAUUGCAAGUAUUUGCCUUUUUUUCAUACCUUGUGUUGUUGUAGUGUAAGCAAUGGAAUGGAAGUUUUAGAGAGAAAGUUUGUUUUGUUACGCAGAUGGGUGGAUGAAGUCAUCCCGGAUGCACCGUGGGUGAUCAACCAAGAGUUUCUUGACAAUAACCGGAUUGAUUAUGUAGCCCAUGAUUCCCUUCCGUAAGACCAUGUUUCCUUUUGUCUCUGUCUUGAUUUAGUUUUGGAUUUUUUUGAAGGAUUUUUGUUUUCACCUCUUAUGCUCUUCCUUGUUUGAAUCAACGUUCAGGUAUGCUGACACCAGCGGAGCUGGAAAGGAUGUCUAUGAAUUUGUGAGUCGCAAUAAUACUUCUGCUUUUGAUGUUUUUUUUCUUCUGUGUUUAUGGUUUAACUGUCUUGAUACAGGUUAAGAAAGUUGGGAGGUUUAAGGAGACAAUGCGAACUGAAGGAAUAUCGACCUCGGACAUUAUUAUGAGAAUAGUGAAAGAUUACAACCAGUAUGUCAUGCGUAAUCUGGAUAGAGGAUAUUCGAGGGAAGAUCUUGGAGUUAGCUUUGUCAAGG